rnacentral:rRNA from 1 species
CCUACGGGACGCAGCAGCCGCGGUAAUACGUAGGGGGCAAGCGUUAUCCGGAUUCACUGGGCGUAAAGGGAGCGCAGGCGGCAUGGCAAGUCUGAUGUGAACACCCGGGGCCCAACCCCGGGAGUGCAUUGGAAACUGCCAGGCUGGAGUGUCGGAGGGGUAAGCGGAAUUCCUAGUGUAGCGGUGAAAUGCGUAGAUAUUAGGAGGAACACCAGUGGCGAAGGCGGCUUACUGGACGACUACUGACGCUGAGGCUCGAAAGCGUGGGGAGCAAACAGGAUUAGAAACCCCUGUAGUCCUACAUA